CCUACGGGUGGCAGCAGUGGGGAAUAUUGGGCAAUGGCCGCAAGCCUGACCCAGCAACGCCGCGUGAAGGACGGAGCCUUUCGGGUUGUAAACUUCUUUUAUGAGGGACGAAGGAAGUGACGGUACCUCAUGAAUAAGCCACGGCUAACUACGGGCCCGCAGCCGCGCUAAUCCGUAGGUGGCGAGCGUUAUCCGGAUUUACUGGGUGUAAGGGGUGUGUAGGCGGGCGUGCACGUCAGAUGUGAAAACUAUGGGCUCAACCCAUAGACUGCAUUUGAAACUGUAGGUCUUGAGUGAUGGAGAGGCAGGCGGAAUGCCGUGUGUAGCGGUGAAAUGCGUAGAUAUACGGAGGAACACCAGUUGCGAAGGCGGCCUGCUGGACAUUAACUGACGCUGAGGCGCGAAAGCGUGGGGAGCAAACAGGAUUAGAUACCCCUGUAGUC
rnacentral:rRNA from 1 species